CCGAUGCCACAGUGGCUCCACGGUUCUGGUUAGCUAAAGGUGUGCCUUGUGCAUGUUUCAUUGCACAUAUCAAGUCUUACUAAAGGUGUGGCCUAAUGUGUGCUUCAGUGGGCAUGAGACGGUGCAGCCAAUGGGAAAGAGGUGGACUAUAACACUUUCGCAUUCUGACAACAUCCAGGCCUUCUAUUUCUUCAUCAACAGCCAAUGGUCACAAUUCACCACAGGGACUCCUCCGCCAAGAUAAUCUCUGUUACAAUGAAGCUGAUAAACUGUUUUGUCUGGAA
rnacentral:lncRNA from 1 species